rnacentral:lncRNA from 1 species
CCGGGAGGAGAGCAAAGUCGGGGCGGGCGGCGCCGUCCCCGGAGGCCGCCCUUCUCCGCGCCCUCGGGACCCGCCGCCAGCGGCGGCCUUCGGGACCGGCAGGAGGCGCUUAUAAUUACAUCAUCUCCUUAACCAGGAGAAUGGCUGUCUGCUCCUCAGAUCUGUAUCAUUAAUGAAGAUCUUUGUGUGUUGUGUUUCCUUGGUACAGAAAGCUUCAGGGCAGGAGUGACAGAAGAGAAAUGCCUACUUGGUUCCAGGCAAUACUAAGUUAUAUGGCAGCAUUUAAAAUAGAAGCAGAAUGCACCAGAUACUCAAGAAACAAAAUAAAUGAAGUGAGCAUCUGUUACAACACAUUUAGAGCAAAGAAAGACUUCUGCUGGACGUCCUGGCAGCAAGCUGUGCAAGUUGAAGCGGAAUCUGAUUGAGGAUGCUUCCAUAGCAUGGCCAAUGAGUGGAGUGAAUCCGUGCCAGGGAUCUGAACCUGUGAACCCGGCCUCCAAACUAGAACGCGG